rnacentral:rRNA from 1 species
UACGUAGGGGGCGAGCGUUGUCCGGAUUUAUUGGGCGUAAAGAGCGUGUAGGCGGCCAGGUAGGUCCGUUGUGAAAACUCGAGGCUCAACCUCGAGACGUCGAUGGAAACCAUCUGGCUAGAGUCCGGAAGAGGAGAGUGGAAUUCCUGGUGUAGCGGUGAAAUGCGCAGAUAUCAGGAGGAACACCGAUGGCGAAGGCAGCUCGCUGGGACGGUACUGACGCUGAGACGCGAAAGCGUGGGGAGCAAACAGG